AGGCAGCAGUGAGGAAUCUUGCGCAAUGGGGGAAACCCUGACGCAGCAACGCCGUGUGAGUGAUGAAGGCUUUCGAGUCGUAAAGCUCUGUUAGGUGGGAAGAAAAGUUCUCGACUAAUAAUCGAGCAUCUUGACGGUAGCACCAGAGGAAGCACCGGCCAACUCCGUGCCAGCAGCCGCGGUAAUACGGAGGGUGCAAGCGUUGUUCGGAAUUACUGGGCGUAAAGAGCGUGUAGGCGGCUAAUUAAGUCAGAUGUGAAAGCCCUGGGCUCAACUCAGGAAGUGCAUUUGAAACUAAUUAGCUAGAGUACGAGAGAGGAAGGUGGAAUUCCUGGUGUAGAGGUGAAAUUCAUAGAUAUCGGGAAGAAUACCGGUGGCGAAGGCGGCCUUCUGGCUCGAUACUGACGCUGAGACGCGAAAGCGUGGGGAGCAAACAGGAUUAGAUACCCUGGUAGUCCACGCCGUAAACGUUGGGCACUAGGUGUGGGAGGUAUUUAUUCCUUCUGUGCCGGAGCUAACGCAUUAAGUGCCCCGCCUGGGGAGUACGGUCGCAAGGCUAAAACUCAAAUGAAUUGACGG
rnacentral:rRNA from 1 species